rnacentral:rRNA from 1 species
UCCCUACGGGGCGCAGCAGUAGGGAAUCUUCCACAAUGGGCGAAAGCCUGAUGGAGCAACGCCGCGUGGGUGAAGAAGGUCUUCGGAUCGUAAAACCCUGUUGUUAGAGAAGAAAGUGCAUGAGAGUAACUGUUCACGUUUCGACGGUAUCUAACCAGAAAGCCACGGAUAACUACGUGCCAGCAGCCGCGGUAAUACGUAGGUGGCAAGCGUUAUCCGGAUUUAUUGGGCGUGAAGGGAACGCAGGCGGUCUUUUAAGUCUGAUGUGAAAGCCGUCGGCUUAACAGCAGUAGUGCAUUGGAAAG